CUGCGGGGAUGAUGGCACCGAACUCUCUCUUGCCGAUUCCCCCGUGGGGAAAAAAACUGCUGAAGAUUUUCUGAGCGGC
rnacentral:snoRNA from 1 species